AGCGAACGCUGGCGGCGUACUUAACACAUGCAAGUCGAGCGGGGGCUUUGGCGUGAGCAAUCAUGUCGGAGCUCUAGCGGCGGACGGGUGAGUAAGACGUGGGUAACCUACCCUUGAGACCGGGAUACCCCCUCGAAAGGGGGGCUAAUACCGGGCACGUUCCCCGGGGCGCGAGUUUCGGGGAGGCGAGGUGGCGCGAGCUGCCGCUCGAGGAGGGGCCCGCGGCCUAUCAGCUAGUUGGUAGGGUAACGGCCUACCAAGGCGACGACGGGUAGCUGGUCUGAGAGGACGAUCAGCCACACGGGGACUGAGACACGGCCCCGACUCCUACGGGAGGCAGCAGUGGGGAAUUUUCCGCGAUGGGCGAAAGCCUGACGGAGUGACGCCGCGCGGGGGACGAAGGCCUUCGGGUCGUAAACCCCUGUCAGGAGGGAAGAGGGGUGUUGGCGCGAUAAGCGUCGGCAUCUGACGGUACCUUCAGAGGAAGCCCCGGCCAACUC
rnacentral:rRNA from 1 species